rnacentral:rRNA from 1 species
UGCUGCUUCGCUGACGAGUGGCGGACGGGUGAGUAAUGUCUGGGAAACUGCCUGAUGGAGGGGGAUAACUACUGGAAACGGUGGCUAAUACCGCAUAACGUCGCAAGACCAAAGAGGGGGACCUUCGGGCCUCUUGCCAUCAGAUGUGCCCAGAUGGGAUUAGCUAGUUGGUGAGGUAACGGCUCACCAAGGCGACGAUCCCUAGCUGGUCUGAGAGGAUGACCAGCCACACUGGAACUGAGACACGGUCCAGACUCCUACGGGAGGCAGCAGUGGGGAAUAUUGCACAAUGGGCGCAAGCCUGAUGCAGCCAUGCCGCGUGUAUGAAGAAGGCCUUCGGGUUGUAAAGUACUUUCAGCGGGGAGGAAGGUGUUGUGGUUAAUAACCGCAGCAAUUGACGUUACCCGCAGAAGAAGCACCGGCUAACU